rnacentral:rRNA from 1 species
GAUGAACGUUAGCGGGAGGCCUAACACAUGCAAGCCGAGCGGUAUUGUUUCUUCGGAAAUGAGAGAGCGGCGUACGGGUGCGGGACACGUGUGCAACCUGCCUUUAUCUGGGGGAUAGCCUUUCGAAAGGAAGAUUAAUACUCCAUAACAUAUUGAUUGGCAUCAAUUAAUAUUGAAAGCUCCGGCGGAUAGAGAUGGGCACGCGCAAGAUUAGCUAGUUGGUGAGGUAACGGCUCACCAAGGCGAUGAUCUUUAGGGGGCCUGAGAGGGUGAUCCCCCACACUGGUACUGAGACACGGACCAGACUCCUACGGGAGGCAGCAGUGAGGAAUAUUGGUCAAUGGGUGCAAGCCUGAACCAGCCAUCCCGCGUGAAGGACGACUGCCCUAUGGGUUGUAAACUUCUUUUGUAUAGGGAUAAACCUACCCUCGUGAGGGUAGCUGAAGGUACUAUACGAAUAAGCACCGGCUAACUCCGUGCCAGUAGCCGCGGUAAUACGGAGGGUGCAAGCGUUAUCCGGAUUUAUUGGGUUUAAAGGGUCCGUAGGCGGACUUAUAAGUCAGUGGUGAAAGCCUGUCGCUUAACGAUAGAACUGCCAUUGAUACUGUAAGUCUUGAGUAUAUUUGAGGUAGCUGGAAUAAGUAGUGUAGCGGUGAAAUGCAUAGAUAUUACUUAGAACACCAAUUGCGAAGGCAGGUUACCAAGAUAUAACUGACGCUGAGGGACGAAAGCGUGGGGAGCGAACAGGAUUAGAUACCCUGGUAGUCCACGCCGUAAACGAUGCUAACUCGUUUUUGGGCUUUAGGGUUCAGAGACCAAGCGAAAGUGAUAAGUUAGCCACCUGGGGAGUACGCUCGCAAGAGUGAAACUCAAAGGAAUCGACGGGGGCCCGCACAAGCGGUGGAUUAUGUGGUUUAAUUCGAUGAUACGCGAGGAACCUUACCAAGACUUAAAUGGGAAUUGACAGCUUUAGAAAUAGAGCUUUCUUCGGACAAUUUUCAAGGUGCUGCAUGGUUGUCGUCAGCUCGUGCCGUGAGGUGUUAGGUUAAGUCCUGCAACGAGCGCAACCCCUGUCACUAGUUGCCAUCAUUCAGUUGGGGACUCUAGUGAGACUGCCUACGCAAGUAGAGAGGAAGGUGGGGAUGACGUCAAAUCAUCACGGCCCUUACGUCUUGGGCCACACACGUAAUACAAUGGCCGGUACAGAGGGCAGCUACACAGCGAUGUGAUGCAAAUCUCGAAAGCCGGUCUCAGUUCGGAUUGGAGUCUGCAACUCGACUCUAUGAAGCUGGAAUCGCUAGUAAUCGCGCAUCAGCCAUGGCGCGGUGAAUACGUUCCCGGGCCU